rnacentral:rRNA from 1 species
UGGGGAAUAUUGCGCAAUGGGGGGAACCCUGACGCAGCCAUGCCGCGUGAAUGAAGAAGGCCUUCGGGUUGUAAAGUUCUUUCGGUAUUGAGGAAGGUUGAUGUGAUAAUAGCACAUCAAAUUGGCGUUAAAUACAGAAGAAGCACCGGCUAACUCCGUGCCAGCAGCCGCGGUAAUACGGAGGGUGCGAGCGUUAAUCGGAAUAACUGGGCGUAAAGGGCACGCAGGCGGUUAUUUAAGUGAGGUGUGAAAGCCCUGGGCUUAACCUAGGAAUUGCAUUUCAGACUGGGUAACUAGAGUACUUUAGGGAGGGGUAGAAUUCCACGUGUAGCGGUGAAAUGCGUAGAGAUGUGGAGGAAUACCGAAGGCGAAGGCAGCCCCUUGGGAAUGUACUGACGCUCAUGUGCGAAAGCGUGGGGAGCAAACAGGAUUAGAUACCCUGGUAGUCCCCGCUGUAAACCCUGUCGAUUUGGGGGUUGGGGUUUAACUUUGGCGCCCGUAGCUAACGUGAUAAAUCGACCGCCUGGGGAGUACGGCCGCAAGGUUA